GAUGAACGCUGGCGGCGUGCCUAAUACAUGCAAGUCGAGCGAACAGACGAGGAGCUUGCUCCUCUGACGUUAGCGGCGGACGGGUGAGUAACACGUGGAUAACCUACCUAUAAGACUGGGAUAACUUCGGGAAACCGGAGCUAAUACCGGAUAAUAUAUUAAACCGCAUGGUUCAAUAGUGAAAGACGGUUUUGCUAUCACUUAUAGAUGGAUCCGCGCCGCAUUAGCUAGUUGGUAAGGUAACGGCUUACCAAGGCAACGAUGCGUAGCCGACCUGAGAGGGUGAUCGGCCACACUGGAACUGAGACACGGUCCAGACUCCUACGGGGGGCAGCAGUAGGGAAUCUUCCGCAAUGGGCGAAAGCCUGACGGAGCAACGCCGCGUGAGUGAUGAAGGUCUUCGGAUCGUAAAACUCUGUUAUUAGGGAAGAACAAAUGUGUAAGUAACUAUGCACGUCUUGACGGUACCUAAUCAGAAAGCCACGGCUAACUACGUG
rnacentral:rRNA from 1 species